AGACAAUUAGUUUAACAAAAACCUUUGAUUUCGGCUCAAAAACUUGUGGUUAAAGCCCAUACUUGUCUA
rnacentral:tRNA from 1 species